rnacentral:lncRNA from 1 species
CUGGAACCCCUUUGGUCCCAAGCGAACCAGGAGAGUUGGUCGCCCUGGAAAAGAAGACAGAGUGAGAAGAGAGAGGAAGCCAGGAGUCUGGCUAAUUGAUGGAUCAACCAACCGAUCAGCUCGGAGAGGUGCCGGCCCUGCCCCAUGGGACUGGCUGUGGCUGGAAUGCAGUAUCCAAUUACCACGUGGUCUCAACCCCCGUGUGGGUGGCUGUGUGGUGAGAACCACAGGCAGACGACAGCUGUCCUUCUGUGCAGAGUGGCUCCCCAACCAGACUCUGCGGGGUGUUACAGUGUUCCCUGAGGGAGGUCGCUUCUGAGUGCUGGGGCCACAGACUAAACAGACAAUUAAAACUCAUCUGAGUUUUGGCAGUUUCUCCAAAAGCAUUUCUACUCCUGCUUUUUUGUUUUUUGGUGUAUGCUUUUCAACUUCAAGGAACACACUUUCCUCUGCAAAGGAAUUAUACUGAAUCGCCUAGCCAUUGCACGCAGGCCUCCCCUCUCCUGAAGAUGAACUUGGCAACUGCUUCACCAUGACAUCCUGCACAUCCAGAGAGAUGGCCCUUUUCUUCUUCUUGUGCUACACAGCCUCGCUCUCCUGUAUGAAGGGACGAUGCAGUGUUCACUUCCACCAGACUAGCUCCACUCGAGCCACAGGCUCUCCUCACAUUUCUGCUUGUUUGGGUAACUCGUUGUGGAUGGGCCCCCAGGGGCAGCUUCUAUUCUAAACCUGUGUCGUCCUGGAGGCCAGAGUCAGCACAGCCAGCCUGCCUCCAAAAGUACGAGUCCAAGGCCAAAAGUAUUGAAUCCUUCUGAAAGCAUCACUUCAUCAGGUUUGCACUGGACGGAGGAACCGGCCUUGGAAGACCUGCCAUAUCUGCAGCCCCCUUUAAGGACCGGUGCUAUUCCGGUGGAGCUGUGGCACAUGGGCCAGAGCUGAUUGGAUCAAGUGACACCCGACCCGAGGGCUGCCCUUCUGUAGGUCAGCCAGCAUCCUAUGAGGUAGCCCGGCCCAGGAGCCAGUGCUGCCUGAACCAAUCAAAUUCUUCUGCUUAGGGAGUUUGGAUGCAACAUAGAGGGGCAGCCAAGUGGUUGUUAGUGAGAGAAGCAGAAUGAUAAAGAAAAGCAAGGACGGAGAGAUGAUCAGUCUGUGGCGGCAGAGGGAAGUAGGGUCAAUGCACAGCUCCUGGAGAGAAGCUGCAGAUCCAGGGCAAUGUAAAACCCAGAGGCCCCAUCACGGUGCCCCCCACAUCCCCAGUACCUACCUCACCACGCUGGGUUCCUGAUAAAGCUCGUUAAAUGGGCCCGGUGUGCAUUCUCGAAACGCCUCCUUGCCCUGAACCACCUGCCAUGUGUUUUCAUACAGGUGAGUUAGGUGUGCCGCUCAGUGGGGGCUCUGGCACCCUUCCUAGAGUUACAAUCUGUGAAACUGAGGCCCUGCGGGAAGGGUGGAUUGAUGCACAUUUCCAGAUUUGAGGCUGGGAGGAGCCACCACUGCGAGACUUUCCUCCCCAAUCAUGUCCUUCUCAGAGCUUCAGUGAGGACAGUUGUCCCUGCAGUGCCCCGGCAAGAGAAAUCCCAGACCUCUCUGUCUUUGAGUGGUAAGGACCACUCGCAAGCACCCACUAUUUCGUUGGGUCCCAUGAGUCCCCUCCCCUCAACGUCGUACUCUGCUCUGGCCGGGCCAUACAGUUCGAGGGGAGUGAAACUGGAGAAGAAUGUGUGGAAGUUUGUGGCUUUCAUCUCUUAAACAAAUAGCAAAUUCCUCUGGGCUGCGGCUGCUGGAAUUGAACAAUGAUGUGUUCCGGGAGGCGCUAAGGCGUUACCUUGGCAACACCCAGGCUGUUUUCAGGCAAGAUCUAGUUAAAUGGGAAAGAGAACAAAAAUAAUAAAGGGAAGAGUCUG